UUGAGCCCGGUGAAGCAAGCACCCCAAAGGGCAAGGCUCUCACUCACUUGUGUUCUGAAUGCGGAAAAAUGUUUACAUCAUACACUGGUUUGAGGGAGCAUCAGAUGAGGGAGCGUGGAGAGUUUCGCCACACUUGCCAAGUUUGUGGUCAGACGUUUAUCAGCAAAGCUCGCUACACAAGUCACACGUUGAACCACAUUGGGGAAAAACCAAAUAAAUGUACCGAGGAUGGAUGCAGUGCCUCAUAUGUUCAUAAAAAAGAUCUGAAGAACCAUAUUUAAAGUCAGUAUAAACAAUUACAAAGAAAAUGCGAGAAAUGUGGAAACGAUUUCUUAACAAAACGUGGAUUAGUCCAGCACAAAUCAGCUUGCGUUGAAGGGCGUCAAUAUCCCUGUUAUAUGUGCACAUAUACUACACCCUACAAGAGUAACUUCAACAGACAUAUCA